AUUGAACGCUGGCGGCAAGCCUAACACAUGCAAGUCGAACGAGUGGCGGACGGGUGAGUAAUGUCUGGGAAACUGCCUGAUGGAGGGGGAUAACUACUGGAAACGGUAGCUAAUACCGCAUACCAUCGGAUGUGCCCAGAUGGGAUUAGCUAGUAGGUGGGGUAAAGGCUCACCUAGGCGACGAUCCCUAGCUGGUCUGAGAGGAUGACACGCCACACUGGAACUGAAGCACGGUCGAGGCUCCUACGGGAGGCAGAAGUGGGGAAUAUUGCGCAAUGGAGGCAAGCCUGAUGCAGCCAUGACGCGUGUAUGAAGAAGGCCUUCGGGUUGUAACGUACUUUCAGCGGGGAGGCGUUACCCGCAGGAGAAGCACCGGCUAACUCCGUGCCAGCAGCCGCGGUAAUAC
rnacentral:rRNA from 1 species